GGCUUUUCAACGAGAGUCAUUUGGUUUCGAAUUUGAAAAACUAUAUAGGAACCUACACUUGCAAGAUUCGUAUCAAAAGCUAGACAUUCAUAAGCACGGAAACAGUCGCAUCCCCACCGCACGAAGUGUUACGUUGGACCUCGAGCACUCAUCAAAGUAUUUGGCUUAUUAACGCUCGUGGCAAAUGUACUACUGUUGUUCGUCAAUGCACUCACUGCUUUCGAUACAAGCCCUGGUUGUUGUCACAAAUUUCGCAAUCAGCCAUUUAGAGUUAGCGGAGUCGGUCUUUUCGGGCCCAUUAGAGUAUCGUUAGGAAUCCGCGGAAAAACACCACUCAAAAUAUUCACCGGUCGCCGUGGGCCUCUGGAAACACUGAUCUACUACUGCGGCAACGCAACAAAUUUUGUGGGUUCGGCAAGAAUGCUUCAAGAGAUCACGUCUAACGGAAAGGGGGAGUACCUUCACCGCACCACACUAUUUUGUCAACCUGUGGGAAGCACCUGUAUAGUCAGCUAAGCAUCUCCUCAUCGUGGGCAACGCCCUCUUAAGGGGACCCCCCGCCCCCAUACUCGCUUUCAAAUUUUGACGAUUUU